rnacentral:rRNA from 1 species
GGCUACAAUCGUCUCAUUAUCAAUUCAGAUAAUAUGGAAGUCAUUGACACAAUGAAGAACGGUGGAGAGUCUGCGGGAGCAGCGGCGGCAAUGAUUUUUUUUAUGGCCUAUGAUUUUCCACAAACCAGUUUUGAACAUUGUAAUAGAGAAGCGAACAAAGUAGCUCAUGAGCUUGCUAGAUUAGCAAAAUGUUCCACGACUAGGGAUUGGAUAGAGGAGCCCAUGGAAACUCUUGUAACUCUUCUGAUAGACGAUGUAACCAUUAUCUCUAAUUAA